ACACCCUCGGGACCUAGCUCCCGGCGCUGGGUAGCUGCCGUUAGCGGCGGCUACCCCAAAGUUAGUGGCGGCGGCGCCCGUGGCGCGACGUACUCGGUAGCUCUACUAGUACGGAGCCCCGGCGCUUGCCUGCCGCGAGAACCCUUCCAUCAACGU
rnacentral:misc_RNA from 1 species